UCAUCUUUCAGUUUGUAAUAACAUUUUGUUUACAUGGUACGAAAACAACUUCCAAAUUGUCACAUGGUGUUCUGAUGCUAUAUAUAAUAUCAAUAUCAAUAGUUUUUAAAUAUCGCAGCAUUUGAGUGUGCCAUAUUGCAUCAUUAUUCAUUAGUUUGGACAAUGGUACAUUAUCUGAUAGACUGUUUAGAUAGCCACAAUACUGUAGCGUUCAUAUUCAACCGUUAGUCUUUAUUGUAUUCUCUUACCCUCUGAUUAAAUUUUGUGUCCCAUUAAAUAUUAUGUAACUCCUUUAGUGCUUUUGAAAUUUACGAGGGUAUAACAUGUUUGUUUAGUGUUACCAACACCUAUUGGAAGAUAAAUACAAUUACUGAAACUUCAACUUCAAUUAUUUCACUUGAAUAUAUUAUAUUAACAUGUGGCGUAACCAAAAUAACAAAGCUUGUAAACUUGACACGCAGUUACAAAUAAUAUUAACAAAUAGAAAAAAAUUGCAAUAAUGGAUAGACCUGAUGAUUGACUGUAAAAGCAGGUUUAAAAACAUUUUUCAUGGAUCAAGUGCAUACCGUAUCGUCUGCCAAGGGACUCAUCUAUUUUUGUGAGUUCUCUGUACACAUUUUAAACAUGUUCAGCAUUAAUUAUUUUACCACUCUUUUGAAAAUGCUGUAAAAUAUUUGGCGAUCACCCGCAACUAGACAAUACGGCUUUAACAGAGCCAUUUUUAUACAUUUUUUUUUGUGGCAGGAAUUAUGUUUAGUAUAGAUGCCAGCAUUGUUUGAGCAUCUGUAAGUCUCAUAGCUAGUGCUGGUGAAAACAUACAAUACCUAGAUACCAUUAAAAAAAAUUCUUCUUGUAGCCAAGUCAAGAUUGUCAUACCAUGAAGGAAUUAAUUUAUCCAUGAUCAUAUAUCGUUGUUUGUUGUCAAUGACGACCAAAUGUUUCUUGAGCUUUGGAGUUAUCUCUAUCUGGAUUCGUGAACUACAAGUAUGGCGUUUCGAUCUUCGUUUGCUCGAGCAGCUUUGUUAGUCAUCAACCUGUUUGUGUGGGGAAUCGCUACGUUAGCUGUCGUCUGCGUCCAGAAGUUAGUCGUGUAUCCAAACCGCCUGCUCUAAGUAUACAAUGGGCAGACGAAUUUCAGCGCCUACGGUGAAACAAUAUCUACAAUUCUCAUAACUACUAUUACUUGCCUUCUUUGUGUACGAGUGCGUCGACCGAUAAGUUAAAUUGCUUGACCGGAAACUGUUUUAUAUUUUCUCAUCCGGUGAGAACAUUAGACGACUGUCCAACACACACGGCAUGUUUGUAAAGUGUUUCUGUUACAGCGUAGGCACGCAUGUUUCGGAUGAUUUUUUUUUUAAAAUUCGAAGUCGCACAAUGUUCACUCAUAAUGAUUAAAGGAAGAAAGAGAUGUAUGGGGAAUACACUGCACAACAUAUAGGCCUAUGCAUAGUCCUACAAUCAUUAUUUAAACUCUUUAUGUAGCUACAGUAGAUUUUCAAAUGUACACGGCUGCUAUUUUUCGGUACGUCUUGUCUUCGUUCUUGCCAAUUAGAAAGGAAAGAAGCGUCCUAAGAAGGGACGCUA